UAUACAGCGAAACUGCGAAUGGCUCAUUAUAUAAGUUAUCGUUUAUUUGAUAGUGCCUUACUACUUGGAUAACCGUGGUAAUUCUAGAGCUAAUACAUGCUAAAAACCCCGACUUCGGAAGGGGUGUAUUUAUUAGAUACAAAACCAAUGCCCUUCGGGGCUCUUUGGUGAUUCAUGAUAACUAUACGAAUCGCACGGCCUUGCGCUGGCGAUGGUUCAUUCAAAUUUCUUCCCUAUCAACUUUCGAUGUUUGGGUAUUGGCCAAACAUGGUUGCAACGGGUAACGGAGGGUUAGGGCUCGACCCCGGAGAAGGAGCCUGAGAAACGGCUACUACAUCCAAGGAAGGCAGCAGGCGCGCAAAUUACCCAAUCCCGACUCGGGGAGGUAGUGACAAUAAAUACUGAUACAGGGCCCUUUCGGGCCUUGUAAUUGGAAUGAGUACAAUUUAAAUCCCUUAACGAGGAACAAUUGGAGGGCAAGUCUGGUGCCAGCAGCCGCGGUAAUUCCAGCUCCAAUAGCGUAUAU
rnacentral:rRNA from 1 species